rnacentral:rRNA from 1 species
GUGGGGAAUAUUGGGCAAUGGGGGCAACCCUGACCCAGCGACGCCGCGUGAGGGAAGAAGGCCUUAGGGUCGUAAACCUCUGUUGUGUGGGAAGAAGGAAGUGACGGUACCACACGAGGAAGUCCCGGCUAACUACGUGCCAGCAGCCGCGGUAAUACGUAGGGGACGAGCGUUGUCCGGAAUUACUGGGCGUAAAGGGCGCGUAGGCGGUCAUUUAAGUCAGCUGUGAAAUGGUCCGGCUCAACCGGAUCAUGCGGUUGAAACUGGAUGACUGGAGUGCUGGGGAGGCAAGUGGAAUGCCCAGUGUAGCGGUGAAAUGCGUAGAUAUUGGGAAGAACACCGGUGGCGAAGGCGACUUGCUGGCCAGCAACUGACGCUGAGGCGCGAAAGCUAGGGGAGCGAACGGGAUUAGAUACCCUAGUAGUCC